UGCUCGUGUCGGGCAGACGCGCUGAAAGGUGAGGAAAGUCCGAACACGUAAUUUAAAGGGUAGCGGGUAACGCCCGUCGAGAGCAAUCUUAGGGAUGCGAGCAGAGACGUCUUAGUAGAGAUACGAAGACCCCUUCGGGGUGAGUUUUAUGGAAACAUAAAAAUGAAACGGCAAAAUUCCUACCUGCGUGCAAGGCCGUGCUUACUUUGUAAGAGUGCCGCAAGAGGUUGUUGGUAACAGCAAUCCCAGAUAAAUGUCUGCACAACGAUUUAUUUCGUGGACAGAAUUCGGCUUAUAGGCACGAGCAAAAA
rnacentral:RNase_P_RNA from 1 species